rnacentral:lncRNA from 1 species
CGGCCGCGGAGGAGCCGCCGCCGGCGGACACCCCCGUGAGUACCAGGGCCUGGUGAAGCACACAGGAGGCUGCCACUGUGGAGCAGUUCGUUUUGAAGUUUGGGCUUCGGCAGACUUACACAUCUUUGACUGCAACUGUAGCAUUUGCAAGAAGAAGCAGAAUAGACACUUCAUUGUUCCAGCUUCUCGCUUCAAACUCCUGAAGGUAUCGCACCCCACUGCCUGGAUGAAGGCACUGUGCGCAGCGUGGUCACCGAGGAAUUCAACGGCAGUGACUGGGAGCGAGCUAUAAAGGAGCACAAGACCAUCAAGAACAUGUCUAAGGAGUGAGCAGGGCAGUAGCCCUGUGGGUUGCAUGGGUGUGUGUCGCUGUGCAGGCCUGGGCUGCCAUCUCCACUCCCCAUGUCCCUGCAGUUCGCUCCAGCCACCAUUUCUUUAGGCAGCUCUGCCCCUAACCCAGGUUUCAUGUAAACAGUUAACCUUCUCCCUUCCUACCAACUUUUAUGUGAUCUUUUAGAAAAUAAACAUUUCUGACAUUAA